UCCCCAAAAGAGGCUAAAACCAACAAACAAUUGCUUAGAAGUAGUAAAUAGCUUUGUUAGUGUUUCUAUGGUAAAAAUGUGUCACAAUCCAAUGCAUUUGACUAAUUAUAAGAGAUAAAGAUUGAUUAGGAGUGUUUAGACAACAUUUAUACCCAUUUUCUCCUAGAAGAGGCUAAAACCAACAAAAAAUAACUAAGAAGCAGUAAAUAGCUUUGUUAGUGUUUCUAUGGUCAAAAUUGUGUCACAAUCCAAAGCCUUUAACUAAUUAUAAGAGUUAGAGAUGGAUUAGGAGUGUUUAGACAACACUUAUACCCAUUUUCUCCUAAAACAGACUAAAACCAACAAAAAAUUGCUUAAAAGCACUAACCAGUUUUGUUAGUGUUUUUUAUGGUCAAAAUGUGUCACAAUCCAAUGCAUUUGACUAAUUAUAAGAAAUAAAGAUAGAUUAGGAGUGUUUGGACAACACUUAUACCCAUUUUCUCCCAGAAGAGGCUAAAACCAACAAAAAACAACUAAGAAGCAGUAAAUAGCUUUGUUAGUGUUUCUAUGGUCAAAAUGUGUCACAGUCCAAAGCCUUUAACUAAUUAUAAGAGUUAGAGAUGGAUUAGGAGUGUUUAGACAACACUUAUACCCACUUUGUCCCAAAAGAGGCUAAAACCAACAAAAAAUAACUUAAAAGCAGUAAAUAGCUUUGUUAGUGUUUCUAUGGUUAAAAUGUGUCACAAUCCAAAGCCUUUAACUAAUUAUAAGAGUUACAGAUGGAUUAGGAGUGUUUAGACAACAGUUAUACCCAUUUUCUCCUAAAACAGACUAAAACCAACAAAAAAUUGCUUAAAAGCACUAACCAGUUUUGUUAGUGUUUUUAUGGUCAAAAUGUGUCGCAAUCUAAUGCAUUUGACUAAUUAUAAGAGUUAGGGAUGGAUUAGAGUGUUUAGACAACACUUAUACCCAUUUUCUCCAAAAGAGGCUAAAACCAACAAAAAAUUGCUUAGAAGUACAAAACAGUUUUGUUAGUGUUUUUAUGGUCAAAAUGUGUAAGAAUCCAAUGCAUUUUACUAAUUAUAAGAGUUAGAGAUGGAUUAGGAGUGCUUAGACAAUACUUAUACCCAUUUUCUCCCAAAAGAGCCUAAAACCCACAAAACAUUGCUUAGAAGCAGUAAACAGUUUUGUAAGUGUUUUUAUGGUCAAAAUGUGUCAGAAUCUAAUGCAUUUGACUAAUUAUAAGAGUUAGAGAUGGAUUAGGAGUGUUUAGACAACACUUAUACCCAUUGAUCACCAAAUCUGGUGUUCAAUGU
rnacentral:sRNA from 1 species